UUUGAUCAAGUUGAGUUUGAUUUGGAUCAAAGAAGGUUAAGCCUCUCAUAUGUCAAGACCAACCACAAAUCAUUAACUCAUUGGCCAAAAUAAAAAGAAGAAAAGAAAUAAAGAUGAAAUGAAUAAAAGGAGAAUUCAAAUGAAAUAUCAAAACACAAUGAUCCAAUGUGAAUCAAAUUAUCAUCAACCAAAUGUAAAAUAGAAGAGUGUCACAACCUAAAAAAGGAAAUGCGAAAAA
rnacentral:lncRNA from 1 species